GAUUUCUGGUUCGGCGCAUUUGGCCCGUCUCGGUUUACGGGAUUGUGUGCCGACGUGCGCCAUCCAUCCUUCGAGAGAACACUUCUACCCUUCACUGGGUCGGGAGUGCUAUCUCGAUCUUUUACUUUGAAAAAAUUAGAGUGUUUCAAGCAGGCUUUAUGCUAUGAAUACAUUAGCAUGGAAUAAUAAUUUAGGACUUCGGUUCUAUUUUGUUGGUUUCUAGGACUGAAGUAAUGAUUGAUAGGGAUAGUUGGGGGUGCUAGUAUUCAGCGGCCAGAGGUGAAAUUCUCGGAUUCGCUGAAGACUAACUUAUGCGAAAGCAUU
rnacentral:rRNA from 1 species